UUAAACCUUUUAUAGAUUUAGACACUUCUUUCUUGGUUUAGUCACUAACACAAUUGACAUUUUAAAACAAUUUUAAGAAUGCCCAAUUAAUUGUUCAAAAACUACUAAUUGAAUCAAGAGUGAUCUUGAUCAUUGUGUUUCAAGUGAUAUAACUAUAUAAGAAACAUUUUUCUUAUUACUUAUAUCAUUAUAAUGUGAUCUUCCUUUUCUUCAAGAAAGGAUUCUCUAGACUUUUGUCAA
rnacentral:lncRNA from 1 species